AGUGAUUACAUUGAACAACAUAACAUGAUUACACUUUCACUUCAUCACAAAACCAACACUCUUGCCCUCAAACUAGAGUGCUAAGGUUCUUUACACCUUUCUGGUGCAGAUCUUAAUCUUGACCUUCAUUGGUAAAUUUGCACCAAGAAAUGAAGUCUAUAUUGUUAUCUACCAUUGGAUCUCGUAGUGUCUUUGUGGUUUUACUAUUUUUACUAAUCUCUUGCUCUACAUUAUUCACUUCCACAGAAGCCUAUGAUCCGCUAGAUCCAAAUGGAAAUAUAACAAUCAAAUGGGAUGUCAUGGGCUGGAAUCCAGAUGGUUAUAUUGCUAUUGUUACAAUGUACAACUUUCAACAAUAUCGCCAUAUUCAAGAACCAGGAUGGACAUUAGGUUGGACAUGGGCGAAAAAGGAAGUAAUUUGGAACAUGAUGGGAAGCCAAACAACAGAACAAGGAGAUUGUUCAAAAUUCAAAGCAGGAAUUCCACAUUGUUGUAAGAAGGAUCCAACAGUAGUUGAUUUGUUGCCUGGAACUCCUUAUAAUCAACAGAUUGCAAAUUGUUGCAAAGGCGGAAUCUUGAAUUCAUGGGCUCAGGAUCCAAGCAACGCAGUAAGCUCUUUUCAGAUUAGUGUUGGUUCUGCUGGAACAACUAAUAAAACUGUUAAAUUGCCAAGAAAUUUCACACUCAGAGCACCUGGUCCUGGUUAUACUUGUGGUCCUGCGAAAAUUGUUAGACCAACUCAAUUUAUUACCACUGACAAGAGGAGAGUCACACAAGCCUUGAUGACAUGGAAUGUUACUUGCACUUAUUCUCAAUUCCUGGCUCAAAAGACACCAACUUGUUGUGUUUCACUUUCAUCCUUCUACAAUGACACAAUAGUAGAUUGCCCAACCUGCACCUGUGGCUGCCAAAACAAAACACAACCGGACAGUUGUGUAAAUCCAGACUCUCCACAUUUAUCUUCGGUUGUAUCAGCAUCAGGCAAACCUAUAAACACGCCUCUAGUCCAAUGUACAAGUCACAUGUGUCCGAUUCGAGUUCAUUGGCAUGUGAAACUUAACUAUAAAGAGUACUGGAGGAUCAAGGUCACAAUCACAAAUUUCAAUUACAGAAUGAACUACUCACAAUGGAACCUUGUGGUGCAGCAUCCCAAUUUUGAUAAUCUUACUCAGCUUUUCAGCUUCAAGUACAAGUCAUUAAAUCCCUACGAGGGCUUAAAUGAUACUGCUAUGCUAUGGGGAGUAAAAUUCUACAAUGAUUUUCUUUCAUCAGCUGGAUCACUUGGUAAUGUGCAAUCAGAAAUCUUAUUUAGAAAAGACAAAUCAACUUUCACAUUUGAUAAAGGAUGGGCCUUUCCAAGAAGGAUUUAUUUCAAUGGUGAUAACUGUGUUAUGCCUCCUCCAGAUGCAUACCCUUGGUCGCCAAACGCAACUUCAAAAUUAGUUUUUUCUUUACUUAGUACAGUCAUAGCCACUUUAGCUUCUUUAUUCGUCUUAUUAUUGAAUUGAUCAUAGAAAAAAUUCAUUCUGCAUCAUACAAGAGCUACCACUGAAGCAAUAAAAAGAGAUGCAGGUGGAUGAAUAGUCGCCACACGAUUUUUUUCCUGUUAUUUAUUUUAAGGGUUGGUUUUUUUACCUUCAUUUAUGUAACAUAUUUUCUAUCUUUUGUAUUGUAUACAUAUUUUUAAGUUACUUGCUUGGAUGAUUAUUUUUUCCGAUUAAUGAAUAUCCUAUUUAUUUUUUGUGCUCA